UAUAAGAACACAAUGAGUUGUUCGAGGCUCCCUAACUAUUGUCUGACAGUUCCUAUGUUUCUUUCAGGAUAAUUACUCAGUCACAUAUUCAACAGUGAAGUGUUCGAAUAUUAUUGAGGAGACAUGUAAGGAUCCUCAAGAAGAACUAACUGGAUCAUCUCCCAACAUCUAUGAGAAUUUCAGUUAAAACUAGCUUCAAACAAAC